rnacentral:misc_RNA from 1 species
AGAAUCUUUGCAGUCCUUGAAUUAUAAAGCAGACAAUAAUGGGAAUCCUUAGACGUUUAAAACUGGUAUUUAGGCCUUUUGUUUUCAUUUUUCUUUGGCAGUCAGCUACACAUUUUGUUCGGACUGUGGGAAAACAAAGUAUUUCAGCCAUUCAAUUCUAACCCAUGUUUGAAGGAGCAGCAACAUCCAACUUAUCAGUGGAUAUUGACGUGUAUUAUGCAAUCAAAGCCUACUUUUGAAUCAUUUCAU